rnacentral:rRNA from 1 species
CCCUUAGAUGUUCUGGGCUGCACACGUGCUACACUGGCAGGUUCAGCGAGCUUCAUGCCCUGAUCUGAAAGGAAUGGGAAAUCUUUUCAAAACCUGCCGUGCUUGGGAUAGAUGUUUGCAAUUAUUCAUCUUUAACGAGGAUUGCCUUGUAAGCGCACGUCAUCAGCGUGCAUUGAAUACGACCCUGUAUUCUGUACACACCGCCCGUCGCUCCUACCGAUUGAAGUUUUCGGUGAGUUGACAGGAGGAUUUUUUUGAAACUGGUUCGCCAGUGGAUUUUAGAUCCAAAUGCCAACGAAUCGAUGGCUUUAGAGGAAGGAGAAGUCGUAACA